CCACGUGUUUUAAAGAUCUGUCCGUAAAGGAGGUUGACAUUUCCCUGUGAAGUAGUCUCUCUUAGAAUACAAGGAGUCACAGGAGGGGCGAAGUAACCCCAGGAAGUGGUGUCUCUGGACUUCGCCUUCCUGGCAAAAGCAUUCCAGCCGCCGGGCAGUCUCUCCUAAUUCCUGUGGGGCUGUUAUUAGCAUAAGCGGCAGCUUCUUCGCUUCUUGAGAUUGGGCGAGUGGGAUCCUAGGUCUGGGAUGUGGUGGGUGCGGCGCAGGAGCAGCCUCGCCGCCCCCUUUCCUCGGAUGUAGAGGCAGGUUGUUCAUAUGAACUCUAGCGAACCACUGGAGGUUGGCUGUAGUAGGUUUGCUCCUUCAGGAUGUGGGUUUCAGGGGGGCGUUUUGAUGUGAUUUAAUUCCGACCGUGAAACAAUUGCUAAGGGCUGGCUGCGCUGCUGUUGGUUUUUCUCCUCCUGGUGGCUUUGGGUUUAGUUUGGGAGCGAACUUGUUUUAUAUCAACACUUCCUUUUGCUCAAGGCGCUGUCGCCAGUGCUAUGCCUCUGGGGAGUGGGGGUAGGUUGAUAGAGUCUUGGGGGCAAGGCGCCCAACCCCAGCCGGAACCCAGGCUGCGGGGAGCAGAGUUAGCCGUUCUGCCCCGCAGAGCCCAGUGCGCUGAGCGGGUGUGGGGGCAGGGAACAGGGGGAGUGACCCACACCCACACAAGAAGACCCUCCCUCCCUUAGAGAUUUUGCAGCCACGUGGAGUGCUCUGCAGACAGUCCGGAGAGUCCUUAAUUACAGGGAUGAGAAGCUCAGUUCUCCUGCACGGCCCUCUCUGUCCCCUAGGUCCUAACAUCAGCUCAGGCCCCAGGUCUUCCCUUUGUGUGGCCUAGACGCUCUGCCAGCUGCAACCUAGGUGGGAUACCAAAGGAAGGAGGUGGCGGGGCCUACGGAAGAGGAUGCUCCGAGAGACAGGCGAGAAAGGACUAGAAAAACGAAUUCAUGUGAUUCCAGGGGCGGAACCGAGACCUCGGUUUUCCAUCCCAGCUUCAGCAGGACGCUCAGUCUGUGGGCAUCUUCAGUUUAACCGACGUCUCGGAGAAGGGGGACGAGGGAAGUGGCAGUUUGUGUCCCAGGGGCUCUUCCUCCUUAAGAAAAACAAAACCCCAAAGCCCCUUCCUCCAGAGUCAGGAAACUCGUGGGACCGUGAAACCCUCGUUCUCCAAUCCGGCGCCUGCAGACGCCCGGUUUCCGCGCGCCCGGCGCCCCUUGGCGUCUGCAGCUCGGCGCGGUAAUUUGCGCACGGGAUCGGCGGCGCGGUCAGCAGAGUGGACGGCCCUCCUCUCAGGGUGGAGGGAACACUGUCCACUCUGCCCUGUGGGACGUCAACCCCAGGCAUGAGUGCCUGCCCCUAACGCCACAGCAGCGCGGACCUGAGGGUGGCUGAGGACAGGCAGUGGUGGGGACCAGGGAAUGAUUUCAGGGGAACAGAAUGAACUAAAAGGGGGUGCAGGGGUUUGGCUCUGCACCGGGAAGCCGAGAUCCCGCACCGAAGAUCCUGCGUAGCAUCAGGACAGAGGGAUGCCACACUUGGACUUCGGCUCUGGUAUACACGUGCCAGCAGAGGAUCCGCUAGUUUAGGGGGCCCGAACAUCACAUUCUUUUCCUCCCUUUCUCAAAACUUUCCUCCUGUGCCUCAAUGUGGCGUGGGCACAGAUUUGUGAAAAUCACGCCCCCUUGGACCCUCUCCGCCGACUCUCCAGCCCCCUCCGUCCGCCCUGGAGCCGGGACGCACACGGAAGAACCGCCCGCGCACGCCGGUCUCGCCUUUUAUCGGCGGAGGGCGGCGCCUGCGCAGGGCCCGGCGCGGCGGCGCGGCCUUUGAAGUCGCGGCGGCUGCGGCUUUCAUCCUUUCUUUUUUCCCUCUCAGGCCCCUUUGUGUGACUAAAUUUGGCAAGAAUAUGGAUCCCAGCCAGUCUUUCCACGUGUGCUCCCAGCUCCCAGCUGAGAAGGCCAAGGGUUCUCUUCCGGGAAAGAAACACUGAGGGAGGUGAGAUGCCGAAGAGGAAUUCCAUCGAAUUGUACAUCUGUCUCCUUAGUGGACACGGUACCCGAGGGGCCUCUUGAAUGUUGGUAAUGUGUAAGAUGGUCAGCCUUACUUUGUAUUCUGCAGCGUCCAGGGCUCUGCCGACAGUGGGCAAGCUUCAAAUCCCUGGUCUGAAGCCAAAGCCACAGCCUUCUUGCCUCAGGGCAGCAGCAGAACCAACCGAACCCCAGGGAGAUGAAUGCAGAACCAGGUCAUUAUUAGUCUCUCCGUCCACCCAGUUACUCCUAGCACACGAGGUGAUGGGAGUUUCACCCACGGGGACUGCGGCCUGCCUUUGAUGUGUGUGAUCUAGACAGUUUAGUGUUCUGAGAAGGUGCCUGACUGACAGACAGGUUCUACAUCCAAUGCCUGGAAAACCCAUCUCCACGGGCACUGCCUUACACGGCAAGGAACAGUUUUUCAGCGUGGGUCUCCUCAAAGUCAGUCAAUGAUCGAGCCUCCAGUUUUUCAUCCUUGUGCUUAAUGUGUGCUUGUUUUCAUUAGAAACUGGUGCUAGGCUUCCCAAGUGUUAUGUUAACUAGUUCGUGGAUGCCUCUAAAUACUGUUGUCCGGAACCACGGGUUCUCCAGCUGUGCAGAGCACGCGUGCACGUCACCAGCUACACGUCUGACCUGCUCCUGCAACCUCUGGGGAGAAGCUUGCAGCUGGGUAGAUACUUCAGGCCUUCCUCUCCAGUUUCAUCCAGCCUCCUGUUCUGAUGACAUCUUCGGCCUUGUCUAAAAAAACAGCCACACCAACCUGCCUUCACCCAGAUUACAAUUCCGGUGACUUUAUAUUCUUUUAUGAGCCGUAUCCAGUAGUUCUCAACCUUCCUAAUGCUGCAACCCUUAAAUACAGUUCCUUCUGCCUCCAGCCAUAAAACCACUUGUGUUGCUACUUCAGAACUGUAACUUUGCUAGUGUUAUGAAUUGUGAUGUAAACAUCUGUUUUCUGAUGGUCUUGGGUGACCCCUGUGGAAGGGAAACAGUGGCCUCAUCUCUCUGCUCCCUGUCACUCCCUAGCAUCGGUUUUUGCACUCCCUUGUUAGACUUCUCUCCCCUUGGGACAUGUGUUUCGUGAGGUGAGCACUUUGCUUUGCUGUGUCUUCAACAUCACAGAAUAUAAAGUUAUCCAGCAGUAACUAUCCUGACCCUUACCAUGAAUGGAAAUACAACGAAGGGUGCAUGUUAUUUUAGACUAGAAAAAUCUAAAAAACAAAAACCGAUUAAAUUAAUGUUAAUAAUAUAAUGUACUUAAAUCAAACAUCUAAACUUUAAUCUAUCCCUCUGUUUUCAGGAGAGAUUGGUUCUAGAGCCCCCAGGACCUGGUGCUCUACUUAAGAAUGAUCAUGGCUUUGCUGUGUUUACAUAUAACCUAAAA